UACGAAGGGUGCAAACGUUGCUCGGAAUUAUUGGGCGUAAAGCGCACGUAGGCGGCUUUGCAAGUCCCAUGUGAAAUCCCACGGCUUAACCGUGGAAGUGCAUGGGAAACUGCAGAGCUUGAGUACUUAAGAGGAUCGCGGAAUUCCCGGUGUAGAGGUGAAAUUCGUAGAUAUCGGGAGGAACACCAGUGGCGAAGGCGGCUACCUGGCCCAUUCUUGACGCUGAGGCGCGAAAGCUAGGGGAGCAAACGGG
rnacentral:rRNA from 1 species